CGCGGCGCUCCGGAGGCGACGAGGACCCCCGGUCGCGACUGCAGAUCUAGGUGGACGAGAGCUUCCGUGGCGCACGGAGCUCGACCUCGGGAUAGAUUUUCUUUGUAGGAUUUGACGAGUAAGAUUGAAAGGAGCGUCCGUGAGAGUCGGAGCUGGUUUUGUAGGAUUUGGUCGGUUACGUCGGAUACGUUGGUUGAUUUUGUCUGCGUAGGACUUAGUAGAUUUUUCUUGGUUUCACUAUCGCCUUCAACGGGCAGCGGGGGUGCGGCGGCCAGCGACGCAGAACGUUCCACUCAACCUCAACCGUCGAUCAGCCUGUGGAAGUGCUCGAUUUUAAGCGAUCCGCGCUCAAGUUUCCGCUUGUAACUUCAGAAAUCGGAAGAAAUUGGAUAAAAACUAAUGAUUCUGAAAGGUGAGGAUACGUAGAUUUGCAAACCGAUUUGUGUACAAGUCUGGAAAUUUUUUAAAAUCUCUUUUUGAAGUUGGAAUUUUAGGAUUUUCACUAUUCGAUUUUGAAUUCGCGCUCUAACUCCCAAGACAUCUCCAAUCCCAAUCCCCUCCCCCCAAUCAUCACCACAGACCUAAACGAAAAACCUACGUCUGUAUUAAAUUGUUUUAACAAAAAACUGCACCGGAAGUCAUCUCGGAAACAGGAGCAUUAUUUGUACACGCUGUGCCGUCACCUCUUUUUUUGCAUUUCCGAAACACUCGUUGCUCUAGGGUAGCUUGGGGUUUAGUGGGCAAGGCGGAUUAACUGAACACUCGACCUAGCUGCCACCUAGUGGGCAUACUCAGAACCAACUACGCGUCAAUUUCAUCAGAUUAUACUAGAAUACCUUGCGCCGAGUUGAUAAUCUUUGUUUUUUUUUUAGAUCAUGUUUACAAACGUGUUUCGUGGGGCGAAAAGUAAAUUCCCGGUGCUGUGAACUGAAGCCCAAAUGACAUAUCUGGCUUUUGAGGAAGGUUUUGUAUUUUAACAACUAAAAGGAGCAAAAGGAUAACCAACCAUGGGGCCUAUUCAGAAGUCAUUGAAAUAAGUUUUCCGUGUCUCUUGUCUCUUAGUAAAAAUUUAUUUAAUAUAAGUAUUAAGACAAACAAAACAUCAUCCUCAGAUGUAUUUCUCUAAUUUUCAAGACUUUUCCACUUGUUCAUUUGACUUAAUAAAAGUUUCCUCUUUCAAAAGUAUGCUUUUUCGUCUUAGUGUCCAGUCAACCCACCCCCAGUGCCCAGUUAACCCACCCCACGGGGGUAACUGAGCACUUUCCCAUUUUUUACAAAAUCAAAAUUU